UACGGAGGAUCCGAGCGUUAUCCGGAUUUAUUGGGUUUAAAGGGAGCGUAGGCGGGUUGUUAAGUCAGUUGUGAAAGUUUGCGGCUCAACCGUAAAAUUGCAGUUGAUACUGGCAUCCUUGAGUACAGUAGAGGUAGGCGGAAUUCGUGGUGUAGCGGUGAAAUGCUUAGAUAUCACGCAGAACUCCGAUUGCGAAGGCAUCUGACGAAUCGGAGAUUGACGCUGAUGCACGAAAGCGUGGGUAUCGAACAGG
rnacentral:rRNA from 1 species